GGGCGGUGGGGUAGCCUUGUGGUUAAAGCGUUCCCUCAUCACACGGACGACCCGGGUUCAACUCCCCACUAGGCCACGAUAUGCGUAGCCCACGU